CAGUGUUACAUGACAGCCACUAAUUAAGUAAAUAACUUGUUGAGAGUUUUUCUUUACCAGUUUUUACUUGUUUUAAAAUCAGAAAAACCUCAUGAGGUCUAAGUCGCUGUGAUUUGAGAGAAUGAAAUGCAGGCUAACAUCAGAGACAACCAUCACAUUCCUUGGAUUCGGUUAGCAAACUCGAGACCUUGAAUGUGUUGCCCUGAUGGCUGCCGCCAUCCAGUUAUGGAGCAGAUAUCUGUCCCUGAUUUCUGUUAUUGCCUCAUCUUGGUGUGAAGCAUUGGUUUGUCUGAGGUAAAUGGUGUGGUUCAGUGGACAGAGAAACGACCUCCCUUCUCAAAGGCCUGGUUGGGACACACGGAUUCUCUUUU
rnacentral:lncRNA from 1 species